rnacentral:rRNA from 1 species
UUACGGUCAAAUCACGCUGAAACACCGGUUCUCGUACGAUCACCGAAGUUAAGCAGAGUAGAGCCAGGUCAGUACUUAGAUGGGGGACCGCUUGGGAACACCUGGUACUGUAAG